UACGUAGGGUGCAAGCGUUAAUCGGAAUUACUGGGCGUAAAGCGCGUGUAGGCGGCUCGGAAAGUCGGAUGUGAAAGCCCUGGGCUUAACCUAGGAAGUGCAUUCGAAACUCUCGAGCUUGAGUUCUGGAGAGGAAGGCGGAAUUCUCGGUGUAGAGGUGAAAUUCGUAGAUAUCGAGAGGAACACCGGUGGCGAAGGCGGCCUUCUGGACAGUGACUGACGCUGAGACGCGAAAGCGUGGGGAGCAAACAGG
rnacentral:rRNA from 1 species